GAAUCUAUUUCAGAAGUUCAAAAUGAAGAUAUUAGUGUUUGUUCUUCUCCUCUUAGCUCUUGAGUCGAAUGGGCGGAGGGGAGGCGGAGGAAGUAGAGGAGGCGGAGGAAGUAGAGGAGGUGGCGGAGGCUUCUUCAGCAGAUCUAGAAGUAGCAGCAGUAGUGGUGGUGGUUCGAGCUAUCCUAAACAGCAGUGGGGAACUGCAGGAGGUUCUCAAGCCGGAGGAGCCGGAAAACCUAUCGGCGGAGGUGGAUUUGCCGGUGGAGGAUCUCAAGUUGGUGGCGGAAACGGUUUCCGUCCUGGCGGUUCACAAAUCGGCGGUGGCGGUUUUGUUAACCCAGGAAGCUAUGGCAGCUACGGGUCUAAAAGCAGCGGAGUUGGAACCUCAGGUUACAGCUAUAAGUCCCCCGGGUACGGUACAAACUUCGGAACCAGUUUUCCCGGCGGAGUGGGCCGGUACGGGAGCAGCGGGAAGAUGCUUGGCCUGGGGGUCGGAGCUGGAUUCCUUGGCGGAGCAGCUGUAGGAGCUGUGGGUGGGCUUGCUGCUCUUAGCGUCUAUCACAGGUAUCAGGAGUACAAUCGACUGCUGUAUUUUCACCAGUAUGGACACUCGUGGAACAACCCUUACUACAACAAUUACCAACAAGGAAUCUGUAUUGGAGGGUGUCCUGUUAACUCCUACUGUACCUACGGUUUCUGUGAUUGUCGGCCCGGAUUUUAUAAAAAGUUUGGAUCCUGCUGGGCUAAUGGACAACAAGCUAUAGAUCCUAGAAUAGGGGAUCCAUUUACUGCUUGUGGAACAGAACAGGAUUGUCAAAAGAUUGAUAUUAAUCUGAUCUGUAAUACAAACCUUACUUUACAGGCCGGGGGCAGAUGUGAGUGUAGGAAGGAUAUGAGAUGGAAUCAAGCAAAUUCAGGUUGUCAGCUGUACCUGGAUGUUGACUGUAGUAAGAUCACUUAUGACACCCCACCCUCUCCAACUGUUCUGGCAGCUGUCAAUUCUACUCUGGAGAAGAUAGAACAGCUAAACAGCACAGCUAAAUCGGAGAACAACAGCACAGCUACAUCGGAGAACAACAGCACAGCUACAACGGAGAACAACAGCACUGCAACAGAUUUAAAUAGCACAACAACCGAUGCGAACAGCCCAGCGACUAAUUUGACUAGCACCGAUAGUGUGACUAUAACUGAUACCAACUCGACUUUGAAAUCAAUCAAUGAAACGCUGUCAACUAGUCUACUUAGCAGCAUAGAUCCAACCAAGGCUAGUGAGGCUGAUUUAAAGGAAGCAUUUUGUCGAGAUAUUGAUACAUUUAGCUGGGAGCUGGCUCAACCCCAAGUUAGGCAGGAUCAGACGACUGAGACUGGUAUAAACGGGACUGGACUGGGUAUAGGACUAGCUGUUGCUAUUCUAGUCCUCGGCUGCUGUUGCCUCGGGUGCUGCCUUAAACGAGUUAAAGACUGCUUCAGGUCUAAUAAAGCUCAGUAUGCUGAUGAGUUGGGUCCUGUUAACUUCAACAAAUAUGAUAAUCAAGUAACCUCUUAUCAGGAUACGCCUAACUAUUCCGCCGCUGGGAGUCAAGUCCAUCUUGCUUCCGCCGCUUAUGGUGGCGGAAUGUAUGCCCCAGCUGAUCCUGCAUACUCUGGUGGCGGACAUAUGCCUUAUCCCAUGGCGGAUCAAGGAAAUCUACCCUACCCUCCGCAGCCGAAUCAAAACCAACCCUACCCUCCCCAACCCAAUUCUAAUCAGCCCUACCCCCCUCAACCGUAUCAAAACCAACCCUACCCUCCCCAACCUACCCAGACUUACCCUCCUCCAUACGCACCAUAAACCUGUAGUCUUCCACUAGUAUCAUGUUAGGGGUAUAAAUUCUUGAAAUUUCUUCUUAACAAAUUUUUUCCUCACAAAUGUUUAGUAGUUUAGUACAUUGUUCACACUUAAUGUCCACCUAUAUUUUUUCAGAGGAUCAAAAAUCAUAUUUUAAAUUUCAUUGCACUGUUUGUGACUACAAUAUUUAUGUUUUAUUCCAUUGUAUUUUUUUAACAUUUUUUUCAGUUUUUAAUGAAUAUAAGCAAGUUCUGCCAUAUUUUUAUUUACACAUAAAGUUUUACUAAAAUCCCAAAGAGGAAUGUAAACAAGCGCAUUACUGCUCAUUCCUCCCAGAAUCUGCAGUAUACCUUAUUUGUAAACAAAGUUAUGAGAGUGCUUUGCUUAUUCCUUGCUAUAAUCCCGACCAAUUAAUUUUUCAAGAUUGUCGACUGUCGACGAUUUAUUAUUAUAAAAAGUUCACUUAAGGUAUUUUCCUGGAAAUCCCUCCCCCGCCCCCUUCCCCCCCCAAAAAAAAGAAAUUACUUAAUGUCGUGAAAUUAUAAUGGUUUUAUAUUUUUUAUUUUUUAUUAAAUUUUGCCUAAUUUUACAAGGGAUUUUUUUUAUCAUGAAGGAUUAUAAUACCCUAACCCAAAAAUUUAAAGAGUUAUUUAAAAUCUAUUUUUAUGUAUCAUUUGAUUUUUCUUUCACUCUAAAUUUCUUUGAAAAAUAUUUGCCUGAAUUUUUACAUUCUUCAAAGAACGAUUAAUAUUUUCAAGAUUUUUCGUCAGCCUACACGACAUAUAAACUCUUUCAGUCUUUUGUGGACUUCUUUUUGAGAUUAAAAAAGUUGUGUGCUAACCAAUUCCGUCCAUGAACUGAAUUCGAAUUUAAUAUGAUGUGAUAUUGAUAUUUUUUGUUAUAGUUUUAAGACAAAUAGAUAGAUAUGUGAUAUUUUAA
rnacentral:misc_RNA from 1 species